CUUACGGGAGGCAGCAGUGGGGAAUCUUACGGGAGGCAGCAACCGUAAUCCAGCACAACGGGGGAAACCAUGAUGCCGCUACGCCGGGUGAGCGAUGAAGCCCGUAGGAAUGUAAACCCUUUAGCCGGGAGGAUUAGACGGUACAUCAGAAAAGCACAGCUACUCG
rnacentral:rRNA from 1 species